rnacentral:lncRNA from 1 species
CACAAAUGAGCACAUGGGGAGGGGUGUGUCUAGUUUUUAUGCUCACCCCCUCCAUGGGCUUUCUAGACCGGCCUUGGUAAAUUUAGAUGUUUUUUUUUAGAAACUCUAAGUUUACCUAGGUUGGUGUUUUAGGUGCCAAAAUUAAUUCUAAGAAAAUUACAAAUAAAGUUCCUAUGCUAAUUUUGACAAGAAAUUAAAGUCUACUCUACACUAGAGUUUAUGGCAUUUGAACAUGUAAAAGAA